rnacentral:rRNA from 1 species
UACAGAGGUCUCAAGCGUUGUUCGGAAUCACUGGGCGUAAAGGGUGUGUAGGCUGCGUGUUAAGUCAGAUGUGAAAUCCCGGGGCUCAACCUCGGAACUGCAUCCGAUACUGGCAUGCUAGAGAAUUGGAGAGGAGUCUAGAAUUCACGGUGUAGCAGUGAAAUGCGUAGAUAUCGUGAGGAAUACCAAGUGCGAAGGCAGGACUCUGGACAUUUCUGACGCUGAGACACGAAGGCUAGGGAGCAAACGGG